UGUGGAUAUUUCUUGUGAUGUCCCAGACAGUGCAAAAGCUGCUGUUCCUGGUGAGCUUUCCAACUUCAGAAACUUCAAAGAAAUGACUGCUGUGCACAGAGUUGCUGCUCAGCUCUUGUACAAGGGAUCCAGUGGUGUGUGGUGUACCUACUGCAUCUGAAUUUCUGCAGAGAGCCAGCUCAAGAGGCCUUGAGCUUCACUGAAGUUUAUACAACCAUUGAUGACCAAGAUUUGGGGUGAAACUCUGAGACCCGGAGUGGAUUUCAG